ACUGGGAUAACUUCGGGAAACCGGAGCUAAUACCGGAUAAUAUUUUGAACCGCAUGGUUCAAAAGUGAAAGACGGUCUUGCUGUCACUUAUAGAUGGAUCCGCGCUGCAUUAGCUAGUUGGUAAGGUAACGGCUUACCAAGGCAACGAUGCAUAGCCGACCUGAGAGGGUGAUCGGCCACACUGGAACUGAGACACGGUCCAGACUCCUACGGGAGGCAGCAGUAGGGAAUCUUCCGCAAUGGGCGAAAGCCUGACGGAGCAACGCCGCGUGAGUGAUGAAGGUCUUCGGAUCGUAAAACUCUGUUAUUAGGGAAGAACAUAUGUGUAAGUAACUGUGCACAUCUUGACGGUACCUAAUCAGAAAGCCACGGCUAACUACGUGCCAGCAGCCGCGGUAAUACGUAGGUGGCAAGCGUUAUCCGGAAUUAUUGGGCGUAAAGCGCGCGUAGGCGGUUUUUUAAGUCUGAUGUGAAAGCCCACGGCUCAACCGUGGAGGGUCAUUGGAAACUGGAAAACUUGAGUGCAGAAGAGGAAAGUGGAAUUCCAUGUGUAGCGGUGAAAUGCGCAGAGAUAUGGAGGAACACCAGUGGCGAAGGCGACUUUCUGGUCUGUAACUGACGCUGAUGUGCGAAAGCGUGGGGAUCAAACAGGAUUAGAUACCCUGGUAGUCCACGCCGUAAACGAUGAGUGCUAAGUGUUAGGGGGUUUCCGCCCCUUAGUGCUGCAGCUAACGCAUUAAGCACUCCGCCUGGGGAGUACGACCGCAAGGUUGAAACUCAAAGGAAUUGACGGGGACCCGCACAAGCGGUGGAGCAUGUGGUUUAAUUCGAAGCAACGCGAAGAACCUUACCAAAUCUUGACAUCCUUUGACAACUCUAGAGAUAGAGCCUUCCCCUUCGGGGGACAAAGUGACAGGUGGUGCAUGGUUGUCGUCAGCUCGUGUCGUGAGAUGUUGGGUUAAGUCCCGCAACGAGCGCAACCCUUAAGCUUAGUUGCCAUCAUUAAGUUGGGCACUCUAAGUUGACUGCCGGUGACAAACCGGAGGAAGGUGGGGAUGACGUCAAAUCAUCAUGCCCCUUAUGAUUUGGGCUACACACGUGCUACAAUGGACAAUACAAAGGGCAGCGAAACCGCGAGGUCAAGCAAAUCCCAUAAAGUUGUUCUCAGUUCGGAUUGUAGUCUGCAACUCGACUACAUGAAGCUGGAAUCGCUAGUAAUCGUAGAUCAGCAUGCUACGGUGAAUACGUUCCCGGGUCUUGUACACACCGCCCGUCACACCACGAGAGUUUGUAACACCCGAAGCCGGUGGAGUAACCUUUUAGGAGCUAGCCGUCGAAGGUGGGACAAAUGAUUGGGGUGAAGUCGUAACAAGGUAGCCGUAUCGGAAGGUGCGGCUGGAUCACCUCCUUU
rnacentral:rRNA from 1 species